GAUGAAGAACGUAGCGAAAUGCGAUAAGUAAUGUGAAUUGCAGAAUCCAGUGAAUCAUCGAAUCUUUGAACGCACAUUGCGCCCGCCAGCAUUCUGGCGGGCAUGCCUGUUCGAGCGUCAUUUCAACCCUCGACCUCCCUUUGGGGAAGUCGGCGUUGGGGACCGGCAGCACACCGCCGGCCCUGAAAUGGAGUGGCGGCCCGACCGCGGCGACCUCUGCGUAGUAAUCCAACUCGCACCGGAACCCCGACGCGGCCACGCCGUAAAACACCCAACUUCUGAACGUUGACCUCGAAUCAGGUAGGACUACCCGCUGAACUUAAGCAUAUCAAUAAGCGGAGGA
rnacentral:misc_RNA from 1 species